rnacentral:tRNA from 1 species
GGAGUGAUACUCAAGUGGUUAAGAGGGUUUCCUGCUAAGAAACUAGGUUGGCCUAAUAGUCAGCGCGAGAGUUCGAAUCUCUCUCACUCCGCCA